GGGCGAUUAGCUCAGUGGUAGAGCACUCGCUUCACACGCGAGGGGUCACUGGUUCGAACCCAGUAUCGCCCACCC
rnacentral:tRNA from 1 species